rnacentral:rRNA from 1 species
CUAGCAGUAUCAGAGUUUGAUCCUGGCUCAGGAUGAACGCUGGCGGCGUGCCUAACACAUGCAAGUCGAGCGAUCUUCUUCGGAAGAGAGCGGCGGACGGGUGAGUAACGCGUGGGUAACCUGCCCUGUACACACGGAUAACAUACCGAAAGGUAUGCUAAUACGAGAUAAUAUGCUUUUAUCGCAUGAUAGAAGUAUCAAAGCUCCGGCGGUACAGGAUGGACCCGCGUCUGAUUAGCUAGUUGGUAAGGUAACGGCUUACCAAGGCGACGAUCAGUAGCCGACCUGAGAGGGUGAUCGGCCACAUUGGAACUGAGACACGGUCCAA